AGAGACAGUUACUCUGACGUGUUCAGUAGGGUCUGACAGUAGCUGGAGCUAUCAGUGGUACAAAGACAGGAAUGAUAAUGUAGUAUCCCAGUCUGACAGACACACUAUAACAGGAGACACCCUCACCAUCAGU